AUUGAACGCUAGCGGGAUGCAUUACACAUGCAAGUCGAACGGCAGCGCGGACUUCGGUCUGGCGGCGAGUGGCGAACGGGUGAGUAAUGUAUCGGAACGUGCCCAGUAGCGGGGGAUAACUACGCGAAAGCGUAGCUAAUACCGCAUACGCCCUACGGGGGAAAGCAGGGGAUCGUAAGACCUUGCACUAUUGGAGCGGCCGAUAUCGGAUUAGCUAGUUGGUGAGGUAACGGCUCACCAAGGCGACGAUCCGUAGCUGGUUUGAGAGGACGACCAGCCACACUGGGACUGAGACACGGCCCAGACUCCUACGGGAGGCAGCAGUGGGGAAUUUUGGACAAUGGGGGCAACCCUGAUCCAGCCAUCCCGCGUGUGCGAUGAAGGCCUUCGGGUUGUAAAGCACUUUUGGCAGGAAAGAAACGUCGCGGGCUAAUACCCCGUGGAACUGACGGUACCUGCAGAAUAAGCACCGGCUAACUACGUG
rnacentral:rRNA from 1 species